rnacentral:rRNA from 1 species
GACGAACGCUGGCGGCGUGCCUAAUACAUGCAAGUCGAACGCAUUUUCUUUCACCGUAGCUUGCUACACCGAAAGAAAAUGAGUGGCGAACGGGUGAGUAACACGUGGGUAACCUGCCCAUCAGCGGGGGAUAACACUUGGAAACAGGUGCUAAUACCGCAUAAUUCCAUUUACCGCAUGGUAGAUGGAUGAAAGGCGCUUUUGCGUCACUGAUGGAUGGACCCGCGGUGCAUUAGCUAGUUGGUGGGGUAACGGCCUACCAAGGCUGCGAUGCAUAGCCGACCUGAGAGGGUGAUCGGCCACACUGGGACUGAGACACGGCCCAGACUCCUACGGGAGGCAGCAGUAGGGAAUCUUCGGCAAUGGACGCAAGUCUGACCGAGCAACGCCGCGUGAGUGAAGAAGGGUUUCGGAUCGUAAAACUCUGUUGUUAGAGAAGAACAAGGAUGAGAGUGGAAAGUUCAUCCCUUGACGGUAUCUAACCAGAAAGCCACGGCUAACUACGUG